rnacentral:lncRNA from 1 species
UCUUUUGCGCUAGGUAUCGAAGGGCGCUAUGUUCAAAAAUCUGAAACUAGAGCUCAAAAUUUGAAAAAAAUGUCAAAAAAUUAGGGGGGUCGGCCUAUUCUAGGACUUCUAGAGAAAAAUAAUGAGGGGUGUCACGGGGUAUGACUAUAUAGGUCUUGUAGAGGAGAAACAGGCGCUUCUUUUGCGCUAGGUAUCGAAGGGCGCUAUGUUCAAAAAUCUGAAACUAGAGCUCAAAAUUUGAAAAAAAUGUCAAAAAAUUAGGGGUAGGGUCGGCCUAUUCCAGGACUUCUAGAGAAAAAUAAUGAGGGGUGUCACGGGG